UCCAGACUCCUACGGGAGGCAGCAGUGGGGGAUAUUGCACAAUGGGGGGAACCCUGAUGCAGCGACGCCGCGUGGGUGAAGGAGCGUUUCGGCGCGUAAAGCCCUAUCGGCAGGGAAGAAGGAGGACGGUACCUGACUAAGAAGCCCCGGCUAACUACGUGCCAGCAGCCGCGGUAAUACGUAGGGGGCAAGCGUUAUCCGGAUUUAUUGGGUGUAAAGGGGGCGCAGACGGCAGCGCAAGCCAGGAGUGAAAGCCCGGGGCCCAACCCCGGGACUGCUCUUGGAACUGCGCGGCUGGAGUGCAGGAGGGGCAGGCGGAAUUCCUGGUGUAGCGGUGAAAUGCGUAGAUAUCAGGAGGAACACCGGUGGCGAAGGCGGCCUGCUGGACUGCGACUGACGUUGAGGCCCGAAAGCGUGGGGAGCAAACAGGAUUAGAUACCCGCGUAU
rnacentral:rRNA from 1 species